rnacentral:tRNA from 1 species
GCGCCCGUAGCUCAGCUGGAUAGAGUGACGGACUUCGAAUCCGCGGGUCGCAGGUUCGAAUCCUGCCGGGCGCACCA